GGGGCUGAUUCUGGAUUCGACGGGAUUUGCGAAACCCAAGGUGCAUGCCGAGGGGCGGUUGGCCUCGUAAAAAGCUGCAAAAAAUAGUCGCAAACGACGAAAACUACGCUUUAGCAGCUUAAUAACCUGCUUAGAGCCCUCUCUCCCUAGCCUCCGCUCUUAGGACGGGGAUCAAGAGAGGUCAAACCCAAAAGAGAUCGCGUGGAAGCCCUGCCUGGGGUUGAAGCGUUAAAACUUAAUCAGGCUAGUUUGUUAGUGGCGUGUCCGUCCGCAGCUGGCAAGCGAAUGUAAAGACUGACUAAGCAUGUAGUACCGAGGAUGUAGGAAUUUCGGACGCGGGUUCAACUCCCGCCAGCUCCACCA
rnacentral:tmRNA from 1 species